ACUUUGGUCUUAGUAUAAGUGUAGUCGAUUUUUUGAUUGGAAAGUAAAGGAGCAAUAACCAACACUCUUGAUAGAAUAAGAAAUUGGUUAUUGUUCCUUUAUUUAGUGCUCUUUUCAGUUUUUCUUUACUUCAACAUAAGAAAAAAAGGAGUCUAGUCUUAGGGAUUGGUUUAUGAUUGCGUAUCAUACUUUUUYCUUAUAUAUAAAUUUCGAAUUUAUAUACAUUCUUUUCAACCCUUUGUAAGACUUUGUGAGAUUAUUAUCUUCUAGUUUUUUUCGAAUAAAAUGGAAAGRUUAUAAUUUUCUGCUUAUUCUAUCUCAUAAGUAAGAUAAAAAAAUGUUACAAAUUAACAWUCGAAUUGAACUAUUUUCAWUUAUUUURAAWUWAUUUCAAAAGGNAAUAAAAAUAMAUAUAAAUACUAAUAAUAAUUGGGGCGGAUG
rnacentral:misc_RNA from 1 species